GGGGGGGGGGGGGGGGGGGGGGGGGGGGGGGGGGGCGGGGGGGGGGAGGGGGGGGGCGGGCGCGGGCGGGGGGCGAGCGGCGGGGGGGGGGGGGGGGGACCGGACGCUACGGUGUCGUGGGGGCGAGCGGCGGGGAGCGUGCGCGAACACCGCCUACGACCUACGGGGGAAAGCAGGGGAGCCCCGGACCCCGCGCCCCUGCAGGAGCCGAUGUCGGAUUAGCUAGUUGGCGGGGUAAAGGCCCACCAAGGCGACGAUCCGUAGCUGGUCUGAGAGGAUGAUCAGCCACACUGGAACUGAGACACGGUCCAGACUCCUACGGGAGGCAGCAGUGGGGAAUAUUGGACAAUGGGCGCAAGCCUGAUCCAGCCAUACCGCGUGGGUGAAGAAGGCCUUCGGGUUGUAAAGCCCUUUUGUUGGGAAAGAAAAGCAGCAGGUUAAUACCCCGCUGUUCUGACGGUACCCAAAGAAUAAGCACCGGCUAACUUCGUG
rnacentral:rRNA from 1 species